GAUGAACGCUAGCUACAGGCUUAACACAUGCAAGUCGAGGGGAAACGACAUCGAAAGCUUGCUUUGGAUGGGCGUCGACAGGCGCACGGGUGAGUAACGCGUAUCAAACCUGCCCACCACUUGGGGAUAACCUAGCGAAAGUAAGACCAAUACCCAAUGAUACAUCUAGAAGACAUCUGAUAGAGAUUAAAGAUUUAUCGGAUAUGGAUGGGGAUGCGUCUGAUUAGCUUGUUGGCGGGGUAACGGCCCACCAAGGCUACGAUCAGUAGGGGUUCUGAGAGGAAGGUCCCACACAUUGGAACUGAGACACGGUCCAAACUCCUGCGGGAGGCAGCAGUGAGGAAUAUUGAUCAAUGGGCGAGAGCCUGAACCAGCCAAGUAGCGUGCAGGAUGACGGCCCUAUGGGUUGUAAACUGCUUUUAUAAGGGAAUAAAGUGAGCCUCGUGAGGCUUUUUGCAUGUACCUUAUGAAUAAGGACCGGCUAAUUCCGUGCCAGCAGCCGCCGUAA
rnacentral:rRNA from 1 species